GGCGAACGCUGGCGGCGUGCUUAACACAUGCAAGUCGAACGGAAAGGCCCUGCUUUUGUGGGAUGCUCGAGUGGCGAACGGGUGAGUAACACGUGAGUAACCUGCCCUUGACUUUGGGAUAACUUCAGGAAACUGGGGCUAAUACCGGAUAGGAGCUCCUGCUGCAUGGUGGGGGUUGGAAAGUUUCGGCGGUUGGGGAUGGACUCGCGGCUUAUCAGCUUGUUGGUGGGGUAGUGGCUUACCAAGGCUUUGACGGGUAGCCGGCCUGAGAGGGUGACCGGCCACAUUGGGACUGAGAUACGGCCCAGACUCCUACGGGAGGCAGCAGUGGGGAAUAUUGCACAAUGGGCGGAAGCCUGAUGCAGCAACGCCGCGUGCGGGAUGACGGCCUUCGGGUUGUAAACCGCUUUCGCCUGUGACGAAGCGUGAGUGACGGUAAUGGGUAAAGAAGCACCGGCUAACUACGUG
rnacentral:rRNA from 1 species